GACGUAGGGCGCGAGCGUUGUCCGGAUUUAUUGGGCGUAAAGAGCUCGUAGGCGGCUUGUCGCGUCGACCGUGAAAACUUGGGGCUCAACCCCAAGCCUGCGGUCGAUACGGGCAGGCUCGAGUUCGGUGAGGGGAGACGUGGAAUUCCUGGUGUAGCGGUGAAAUGCGCAGAUAUCAGGAGGAACACCGGUGGCGAAGGCGGAUCUCUGGGCCUUACCUGACGCUCAGGUGCGAAAGCUAGGGGAGCGAACAGG
rnacentral:rRNA from 1 species